rnacentral:rRNA from 1 species
CCUACGGGUGGCAGCAGUGAGGAAUAUUGGUCAAUGGUCGGGAGACUGAACCAGCCAAGCCGCGUGAGGGAUGAAGGUACAGAGUAUCGUAAACCUCUUUUGUCAGGGAACAAAGGCGGGGACGCGUCCCCGGAUGAGUGUACCUGAAGAAAAAGCAUCGGCUAACUCCGUGCCAGCAGCCGCGGUAAUACGGAGGAUGCGAGCGUUAUCUGGAUUUAUUUGGUGUAAAGGGUGCGCGGGCGGUCUGUUAAGUCAGCGGUAAAAGCCCGGGGCUCCAACCCGGCCCGCCGUUGAAACUGGCAGUCUCGAGUUGGAGAGAGGUAUGCGGAAUGCGCGGUGUAGCGGUGAAAUGCAUAGAUAUCGCGCAGAACUCCGAUUGCGAAGGCAGCAUGCCGGCUCCACACUGACGCUGAGGCACGAAAGCGUGGGUAUCGAACAGGAUUAGAUACCCCAGUAGUC